rnacentral:rRNA from 1 species
UACGAAGGGGGCUAGCGUUGUUCGGAAUUACUGGGCGUAAAGCGCACGUAGGCGGACAUUUAAGUCAGGGGUGAAAUCCCGGGGCUCAACCCCGGAACGGCCUUUGAUACUGGGUGUCUUGAGUUCGGAAGAGGUGAGUGGAAUUGCGAGUGUAGAGGUGAAAUUCGUAGAUAUUCGGAGGAACACCAGUGGCGAAGGCGGCUCACUGGUCCAUUACUGACGCUGAGGUGCGAAAGCGUGGGGAGCAAACAGG